CCAUAGGCUCUGCUCAGAGCUACCCUAUUUAAAAAAAAUUUUUUUU
rfam:Fukomys damarensis contig94713, whole genome shotgun sequence.